GCUUGCAAGUCACCGUAGUGAUCUCAGGUCGGAGGGACAUUUAUACCCAUACUCUUUGUGAGCUAUCCUUAACAGCAGAGUGCUCCACGUUGGUCAAGUUCAGUGACAAUAUACUUCUACAUCUCAUCUGCAUUUCAUAUCAGUAUCUCCAUACUAUUUGGUUAUGAGGACAACCAACGCAUAUGGCACACAACAACCUACACUUGAUAUCACUAUUGUUGGUGCAAAAAUCAGCUUGC
rnacentral:lncRNA from 1 species